ACUGAUGUUUCCUGCUUGAGGUGGGGGAGGGGCGUCUUCUCUUCCCGCGUCCGGAACCCCGCGUCCCGAGUUCCCCGUGGUUCUCUCGCACCCAUCGCUCGGCGGCUUUACGCCACAGGGUGAAUUGCGACCUCACCCUGCUCCCCCUGGCUGGACUCUAGCUUCGCCCAGGCCCCCUCCAGUAUGAGCAUUGAUGCUUCCGUAGCCAGUGUUUUUAGUUGUUUUGUCUUGUGGCUUAGCCGCCCACGGGCCCAGAUGUGGGUGGGAGUGGGGUGGCUGCCGGGCUGGAAGCUGAGGAUUUAGCCAGAGACCCAGCCCAGAGCCCGGCCGGACUUACAGAUUCUCUCCCUCCCCAGCAAUCUACAAACAAAGGAAGGAAAGAGGAGAAAUGCCUAUUAGACUCAGUACCCGGGGUUCACCCACCUCUCCCAUUGGGAUGUCUAUUGUGCAAAGGAAGGGAAGGGGCCCGUUAAUCCUAGAACCUCAACCUCAGGACUAGGUUCUGAGGUUUUGGGUGUGGUUGCUUUUCCCUCAUCGAGAUCAACAAGGAAGGAGCAGAACUGCUCGGAUUGCUUUGUCAUGCGGAGUCACGAGGAUGGCCAUGUAAACAGUUUUGUUUGCAUAGGCUACCGGCUUCCGUACAGUAAGAAGUCUAGCUACGCUAACAGAUUAAACUUCACUCUGUAAAGGUUUACGAGUUAUUACCAUAUUACUGAAGGAAACGUUAGGAACAUAGCUGGUUUGCCUAGCAUGAACCAAAAGCUCCAGUUUGAUUCCCCAGCCCAAAGUCUGCUUUCUAGAAUAAAGAGCAGGUAGAAUUUUAUUUGAAGUGAAUUGAAAUUCAGAAAAUGUCUCCUUUGCAUAGUAUUUUAUUUUUAUUAGGAAGCAUGAGUCGGACCUUGUUUCAACAAGCAGAGUAUGUCUGAGUCAGACAUUUUGAGGCACAGACUCAGCCAGAGUGCUGAUCUUAUGAUUGAUGCGAUGACUUCAUUGGGCAAACUGGACUGCUGAUAUAUUCUUGAAGUGUUUUCAAGUGGAUCGAGCUGCCGCUGCUAACCUGUGAACUGAACUGCCAAUUUCCAGACAACACAAACAGGAGUUGCUCCAAAGAACCUUUCUAAACAGGUCCACUUCCCCCCUGUAUCCUUUCUUUUCCACUACCUCUGGUGGGUGAUGGGCUACAAGAGAGGUUAAAAUGUUUAAAACCCAUCAUUAAAAAUAGGUUUUUAGGGCUGGUGAGAUGGCUCAGUGGGUAAGAGCACCCAACUGCUCUUCUGAAGGUCCGAAGUUCAAAUCCCAGCAACCACAUGGUGGCUCACAACCAUCUGUAACAAGAUCUGACGCCCUCUUCUGGAGUGUCUGAAGACAGCUACAGUGUACUUACAUAUAAUAAAAAUAAAUAAAUCUUAAAAAAAAAUAGGUUUUUAAAAAAUUAAAGUUGGGGGGCUGGAGAGAUGGCUCAGUGGUUAAGAGCACCGACUGCUCUUCUGGAGGUCCUGAGUUCAAAUCCCAGCAACCACAUGGUGGCUCACAACCAUCUGUAACAAGAUCUGACGCCCUCUUCUGGAGUGUCUGAAGACAGCUACAGUGUACUUACAUAUAAAAAAUAAAUAAAUCUUAAAAAAAAUUAAAGUUACAUGUAUGUGCCACAAAGGGGGCAGCUUGAGGGAGUUGCUCAGUUCUUCCCCUUCUAUGUGGGUCCCAGAGAUCAAACUCAGAGCAAGCUUGGUGUCAAGCACACUCACCCACUGAGCCAUCUGGCUGCGGACUUUUUUUCUUUUAGACAUUUGAGAUGUAAAUCUAUUUUAUUAAAUAUGUUCGAACCAUUGUAUAAUCAUCCCCAGUAUCUGGUUUCUGAACUUUUCAUCUUAAACACUGAAACUGUCUGCAGAACCACCAACUACCCUUUCCCAUGCCCAUAACUCUCAUACAGCCCUCAUACAACCACAAACAACCCUUAUACAACCCCCACACAGCCCUCAUAUAACCCUCACACAACACCCACACAGCCCCUACACAGCCCCCACACAGCCCUCAUAUAACCCUCACACAACACCUACACAGCCCUUACACAACACCCACACAGCCCCCCCCACAACCUUCACAUAGCCCUCACACAGCCCUCAUAUAACCCUCACACAACACCCACACAGCCCCUCCACAACCUUCACACAGCCCUCACACAACACCCACACAGCCCCCACAUAGCUUUCAACACAGCCCUCAUCUAACAUCCAGGAGUACUACUCUACUUUGAUCUCUAUGCACUUAACUAUUUUAAAACAGAAAUAUCACUUUCUAUUUCCUGUUUUUAAAGUACACUUUUUGUUUGCUUGCUUGUUUGUUUUGUAUUUUGAGACAAGGUUUCUCUGUGUACCCCUGAAUGUCCUGGAACUCUGUCGACUAAGGCUGGCUGUGAACUCAGAUCUGCCUGCUUCUGUCUCCAAAAUUCUGGGAUUAAAGAAGUAUGGCAGGAUGCCCUGCUGCUGUUUCUAUUUUAUGGGUGUGGCUGUUUUGUCUGUAUGUAUGUCUGCACACUAUGUGGUAUAGAACCAAAGAACAGAAGAGGGCGUUGGCUCCCCUGGGACUGGAGUUACAGACAGUUGGGAGUCACCGUGAGGGCACUGAGAAUUGAACCUAGGUCCUCUGGACCAGCAGCUAGUGCUCUUGAACACUGAGCCAUCUCUCCAGCUCCUACUUUUUAUCUUCAUGAAUUGACUUUUAUUUAUUAUUAAUUAUUACUAGUAUUAUUUUGAUUUUCUUUUAAAACAGUGUUUCUCUGUAUAGCUUAAGCUGUCCUGGAACUCACUUUGUAGGCAAGGCUGGCCUCAAACCCACAGAGAUCUGCCUGCUUCUGCCUCCCAAGUGCUGGGAUUAAAGGUGUGUGUACCCAUACCCCAGUUUAUAUGGACUUUUUAUAUUGUAAAUCUUUUGUCAUAUACUUCUACCAUAUGCAAUUGUAAGACAUUUUCUUUUUCACUUCUUUAAAAUCCAGGGAACUUUUGAGGUUUUCUUUUUAAAUUAUGUGUCUCUGAGUAAGUGCAGGAGAAUGAGGCACCAGCUGAGGCCAGAGGGGUCCUGUCCUCUAGAGCUUGAAUAUCAGGCAGUUGUGGGCCAAUGACAUGGGUGCUGGGGACUGUACUAGGUUGACUGCAAGAACAGUACCAGCUCUUAACUGUUCUUCAGCUCUGGGACAAAUUUUUAAAAUAUUUAUUUAUUUAUUAUAUGUAAGUACACUGUAGUGUGCCUUCAGACACUCCAGAAGAGAGCAUCAGAUUUCGUUACAAAUGGUCAUGAGCCACCAUGUGGUUGCUGGGAUUUGAACUCAGGACCUUCAUAAGAACAGUCAGUGCUCUUAACUGCGGAGCCCUCUCUCCAGCCCCGACAAAAAAUUUUUAUGUGAAAUUUGCAUAAGCAAGUCUUUUCUUCAGCCCAGGCUG